GAAAGAACGUAGCGAAAUGCGAUAACUAAUGUGAAUUGCAGAAUUCAGUGAAUCAUCGAGUCUUUGAACGCACAUUGCGCCCCCUGGUAUUCCGGGGGGCAUGCCUGUCCGAGCGUCAUUGCUGCCCUCAAGCACGGCUUGUGUGUUGGGCUCCGUCCCCCCGGGGACGGGCCCGAAAGGCAGCGGCGGCACCGAGUCCGGUCCUCGAGCGUAUGGGGCUUUGUCACCCGCUCUGUAGGCCCGGCCGGCGCCAGCCGACAACCCAUCAUCCUUUUCAGGUUGACCUCGGAUCAGGUAGGGAUACCCGCUGAACUUAAGCAUAUCAAUAAGCGGAGGA
rnacentral:misc_RNA from 1 species